CACACGCGAUAUUCGCCCGCCCGAGGGCUUUAGUGUAAAACAUCAAGAUUGAUCCGCGAUAUCACACGUUUCGCGACACUCACCGCCAACUUCGAUCCUUUGACUUUUAGUUCAAAAGAGUGCAGCGGAAAAAAAGAGAUACACGGCCGAUAAAAAUAGCAGGCUUGCGAGUGACAUGGCAGCAGCAGUUUGUGGGGACUUAUUAAACAACAAUCAUCAUACAAGGGGGACGGGAAGGGGAAGCGAUUAUCGACCAGUCAAUCAAUCAACAAAUCGCCCGAUCCGCAACGGUUGCUUGGAUGGGGCUUGUUGGUGCCCAAGAGUUGCAAUUAUCGUAUCCCAGUUGGCCUAGGCCGACUUUUGCACAAUCACAAUCGAAAGUUGCAAGCAUGAUGUCCCCCCUUCGCAAUUACCCCAGGGUCCUCAGACGCAGACAAGGCAUGUUUUCGAUAGGCGCAAAUCUCCGACGUUCCGCCAACGGUCAACACUCACCUGUUCGUGCUUCUUCAGGUAGCCGAGCCGGGGAAACGUUUUAUCACAAAACUGACACCGAUAAGUGCCGUCAUUAUUCUUGCUGUGGCUGUUUGUGUGAUUGUUAUUUUUAAUUAUUUUAUUAUUAUUGUCGGCGGAGGACGACCGAUGGUGGUGGUGGUGGUGCCGUCGGUGCUGAUGGCCACCACGCUUGUCCUGUCCAGCCGGUGCCUGCUCGGAAUCUGCUGUGCCUCCGUUGGCCGAUCCGGGUUGAUGCUGAUGAUGGUCGCCGUCGUUGGUGAUCGAGUUCGGCGUCGUCAUGCCAUCCGAUAUCGACGGCGAAAAGCUGGACGACGUGUGCGACGAGUAGAGUUCUGUUUCGGAAAGGGGAGAGAGGAGGAAUAAAAAGGAAGUCAUAAUUAGAUUGAUGACGAUAA